rnacentral:misc_RNA from 1 species
AACCUAGCACACCUGCGGUGUGUACCUGCGGAAGGAUCAUUACCGAGUUUACAACUCCCAAACCCCUGUGAACAUACCUAUACGUUGCCUCGGCGGAUCAGCCCGCGCCCCGUAAAACGGGACGGCCCGCCCGAGGACCCCUAAACUCUGUUUUUAGUGGAACUUCUGAGUAAAACAAACAAAUAAAUCAAAACUUUCAACAAUGGAUCU